CACGUAGGGCGCAAGCGUUGUCCGGAAUUAUUGGGCGUAAAGAGCUCGUAUGCGGUCUGUUGCGUCUGCUGUGAAAACUCGGGGCUUAACCCCGAGCCUGCAGUGGAUACGGGCAGACUAGAGGUAGGUAGGGGAGAAUGGAAUUCCCGGUGUAGCGGUGAAAUGCGCAGAUAUCGGGAGGAACACCGGUGGCGAAGGCGGGUCUCUGGGCAGUAACUGACGCUGAGGAGCGAAAGCGUGGGGAGCGAACAGG
rnacentral:rRNA from 1 species